rnacentral:ncRNA from 1 species
AGGAGCCGUGUGAGAUGAAAGUCUCAUGCACGGUUUGAAUGAGAGAAAAGAAGUGAGGAAUCCUCUUUUCGACUCUAAC